UGGCGGACGGGUGAGUAAUGUCUGGGAAACUGCCCGAUGGAGGGGGAUAACUACUGGAAACGGUAGCUAAUACCGCAUAACGUCGCAAGACCAAAGAGGGGGACCUUCGGGCCUCUUGCCAUCGGAUGUGCCCAGAUGGGAUUAGCUAGUAGGUGGGGUAACGGCUCACCUAGGCGACGAUCCCUAGCUGGUCUGAGAGGGUGACCGGCCACACUGGAACUGAGACACGGUCCAG
rnacentral:rRNA from 1 species